CGCUUUCCGCACCUCCACUCUCUCUCGAGCACCACGGCGCCGUCCUUUUCAGAUCCAGAUCGUCUAACAUCGACGACAGGAUGAUUUCAUCGCUGACGCGUCAGCAUCCGCGCGUGACGUCAGGAUCCUCGGCCGUCCCUUCCGUCGUCGUCGAAUCCAAAUCCGGGGCUAGAAUAUCUCUCGCCGCCUGGUACUUCCCUACCGCGCCGCGCGUGCCUCGCUCUUCGCCUGGAUUUCACCGAUCUGGCAUGCCCUACUGUCCCGUGGCAGCGGGAGCCGCCCCCUUGCUGCCUCCACAGCUCACGCCAUGAAUGGCCGAUCCGCCCUCUCAGAUCGGAAUUCCCCCGAUGUGCCAUUGCUUCCCCGUUCGCGCUUCCCAGUUUCACUUCCCUCGCAUCGUUUUGCGGUGGUUUGGGGUUUGAAAUCUCUUUUCUACCCCGUCCCCGUAGUCUAGGGUUUCGAGCUCAAGCUCGGCGCCGGCGUCUCAGUUGCUGCAAGUGGAGGCAGCAAGCUGGAGGCAGCAACUGCAUACCUUGCAAGAAAAUCGGGUUUCUAGACAUACCUAUGAUUUUCUUGCAAGUCGUGCAGUUGUUGUCUCAAGCCUGCUGCCUCCCUUUGCCAGAACUAUUGAAUAUGAAAGCACAGUUAAGCAAUGCCACAUCCAGGAUUGCCAAAAGGUAGCAUUGGUAUAGACAUAUUGUACCGGAGCAUGGCUGAGCUAUUAGCUAAAUAAAUUGUAUAUUCUUAUGAAAUAACUGAAUUACAUGAGAUAAAAUGCCACUAUUUCAAUCGAGAAAUCUAUACAGUAUGCAUAGUAACAAGAUGGGGGGAAACAACGAUUAUAGAAGCAAAACAAGGCAUAUACAAAACCUUUGUAACUUGAAAGUUAAUAUUCAAUUUCAUUCAAAUACUUAUAUUAAGGAACUUUAUUGUGAUGGUGAACUAUCAAGCUGGACUUAUAUUGGCAUGCUACACAUGUUGUAUUGUCUUCUAUGCUGUUAUCCACACUUCUCACACACAAGUUCUCCAACAUCUGAAUUGAGCUAAAUUAGCUUCAUAACAGCAUGUGCUGGGGUCUAGGGGCAAAAAAGUACAGGUCAGGAAAUUGGUGAUGAUCUUUUUGGAAAAAGUUUGAGCACGAAAUUAGAGGAUCGUAAUAACAUCUUCAAAGGUUCAAUAUAAACUGAAAAAGGAUGGUCUAAAGCAUUUAUUGAAUGCUGAUCUUUUCAGAAGAUGGGAACUUGGACCAGGUACUUUUUUUUUGCCCCUGUAUUUCAUAUGCCUCUUUACCAGUUCUGUAUUUUGAUAGUUUCAUCUUUUUUGAAUAUUUUUAUUCUGGGGUUAAAAAGGAUCGUAUGGUUGGCUUCCUUCAACAAAAAGUAACAUUUGGAUCUAAGAGGAGCUGUCUAUAUAUGAGCUGUCUGUAUGGUUACCUUCAGAAGGAUUUUUGGUAUCACGUUUAGUGUCUUUCAGUAACAAUUUGUAUCAUCUGCACAUUUGCAGUCUAUUUUCUCAACCCAUAAAUUCUACUGUUCUUGGGUGCCGUGCAUAUGCAGUUCUGCAUACGCGUAACAAAGGGUGCUUGGUGGUUGAAUGACUCCACUCUUCAAUUCAUUUGUUGUUUACGCAUAACAAAGUGGUUGAAUGACGGUCCACUCUUCAAUUCAUUUGUUGUUUCUUAUCAUUGGAAGCAUCUGCAUUGUAGCUGUUUCACUUCUGCUAAUUAGACUAUUCAUGUACGAACUUAAGCAUUCGGAUCAAGUGAAAAAAAUACACCGUCUUACUAAGUAAUGCAAUCCCGUCUUAACUUGAUAUUUUUAUCUUCUAAAUAACCUAUGUAGAGUCAUUUGGAUGUAGGCCACAGGUAGCACCAGCUUUGACUUUCUGACAAGCUUCACGCAAAGGGGCAGGCUAAGCAAGGCGCAUCUCAGCCUGGAACCCUCAAUAAGUUUCAUCUGGAGUACAACUGAAGAGGAAAGGGUUUAUUAUAUCGGUAUAGAACUUCGAUCUUUGAUCGAAGGUCUUCUGUUUAGUUCCUAGUGAGGAUGCUUAAGUUGACCAACAUGUCUAUCUUGCUUGCCAAAUUUGUGGUGAAGAACAAAUUAUGGGGACAAAAGGGCUUAACAGCUUGUUAAGAGAAUCUUGCCACAACAAGGCCUGCUAAUGGGUUGGGUUGACAGUUGGGUUUCCUUUGGAUGGGUGGGAGCGGGUUUGCAUAGCUAUUGGGUUGGGUUUGCAGGACAUGCGGGUUGGGUGGGGUUGGAAUGGGUUAUACUUUUGCAGGUUCGUUUGGGUCGGCCCCCAAUCCAUGCCUUGCACAGUCGAGACGAGGACCUAAUCCUAGGCUCCUAGCAGGGUGGCGCGACGCUGCAACAGCCGAGGGGGUCGGGGUCUCCUCCGCCACCGCUAGUUGGUCCCUCCUGUCCUACGCCGCCGCCGACCGCUGCCUUCUCUUGCACACGAGGCGAAAAUCACCGCUAGGUUCGGCCGCGCACGAGAGGAACUUUGGCUUCCUCCAGUUCCCUGGCCACCCGGCUUUGGCGAUGGUUGAGGUGGGGCUCUGGCGGAAUUGGUUGCUGAGGAUCUUGCGGGUGAGGUGGCUGCAGGCGUUGCUAUCCUUGGCCAGAGCAUCUGUGCCUUCGCCUUCAUCUGAUAGUCUUCUCGGUCACUGAAGCAUUUUAUAAACAAGUUGAUGAAGAGAAGCAUCCAUGCUGAAAUCGACGGGAUCUAUGUAUGGAACAAGGCGUCAAUUGUGAUAAUUGUACUGUAGUUUGUUCAUCUAGCCAUCUAGGUUUUGUUGUACUCCAUGGACAGUUUGUUUGAAGUGCACACUGAGUGCAUGUUUCAAUUGUGCACGUUUCAGAGCACAAGUAGUUUGUGGAAUAUCUUCCCUUGGUAUGUUCAUAUCGAAAUUCUUGGUUAGCCUUGAAAUUGAAAUAUAUACCUUGAAA